AGGCGCCCAGCGAGGCCCCCGAUUGUUCCGCGCACGCGCAGUGGCGCUUUUUUCAGCGGCGCUGUGAGGUGUUGGUGUUUGUGUGUGGGAGCAGGGAGCCGUCGCUGCUGGAUGUCACUGUCUGAUGGCUGCAGCAGUGAUGUGAGGUGGCAAAGCUCGUGCCUAUAAGACAGCUGAGGAAGAGGACCUCAAAACCUAUGCUGCUGCUGGCCCGCAGUCAGGGAAAGUACCUGACUGGUGCUGCUGUAAACUAUGAAGCACACAGUACCUCUGUAGGAGAGUUAAUCCUGCGCAGCAAUGAGAUAAAACAGUCGUGUUGGGAUUUUUUCUUUCAGUGAAGUACCACAAAAAAGCAUGUUAGUGCUGUGUGGUGAUGGUGAAAGUAUUGCCACGAAGGAGACAAAAUGAGCUCGGAGCAGCAGAUCCUCAAAACAAACAUUGAUCAAUAUCAUAUCAUGAUGGCCUCUUCAUCAAAACUUCGUUUUUAUUUCUUUGAAAGCUAACCAUAAGACAUAAAGCACUUACCACGUUAAUUACAAGCUAAGUUUAUUGGAAAAAAAA